rnacentral:rRNA from 1 species
GACGAACGCUGGCGGCGUGCUUAACACAUGCAAGUCGAACGGAAAGGCCCUGCUUUUGUGGGGUGCUCGAGUGGCGAACGGGUGAGUAACACGUGAGUAACCUGCCCUUGACUUUGGGAUAACUUCAGGAAACUGGGCUAAUACCGGAUAGGAGCUCCUGCUGCAUGGUGGGGGUUGGAAAGUUUCGGCGGUUGGGGAUGGACUCGCGGGUUAUCAGCUUGUUGGUGGGGUAGUGGCUUACCAAGGCUUUGACGGGUAGCCGGCCUGAGAGGGUGACCGGCCACAUUGGGACUGAGAUACGGCCCAGACUCCUACGGGAGGCAGCAGUGGGGAAUAUUGCACAAUGGGCGGAAGCCUGAUGCAGCAACGCCGCGUGCGGGAUGACGGCCUUCGGGUUGUAAACCGCUUUCGCCUGUGACGAAGCGUGAGUGACGGUAAUGGGUAAAGAAGCACCGGCUAACUACGUG